CCAAUAGCGUAUAUUAAAGUUGUUGCAGUUAAAAAGCUCGUAGUUGAACUUCGGGGUUUACCCAUUGGUCAGGCUUAAUUGUCUGCACUGGUGAGAUGAAUCUCUACCUUCUGAGGAACUUUCAUGCCAUUUAUUUGGUGUGAUGGGAAAUCAGGACUGUUACUUUGCAAAAAUUAGAGUGUUUAAAGCAGGCUAACGUCUGAAUACAUUAGCAUGGAAUAAUGAAAUAGGACGGACUGAUUCUAUUUCGUUGGUUUCUAGGAUCACCGUAAUGAUUAAUAGGGAUAGUUGGGGGCAUUAGUAUUCAAUUGUCAGAGGUGAAAUUCUUGGAUUUAUUGAAGACUAACUACUGCGAAAGCAUUUGCCAAGGAUGUUUUCAUUAAUCAAGAACGAAAGUUAGGGGAUCGAAGACGAUCAGAUACCGUCGUAGUCUUAACCAUAAACUAUGCCGACUAGGGAUCGGACGAAGUUAAUUUUAUAAUGACGCGUUCGGCACCUUACG
rnacentral:rRNA from 1 species